rnacentral:rRNA from 1 species
AUUGAACGCUGGCGGCAGGCUUAACACAUGCAAGUCGAGCGAGCGGCGGACGGGUGAGUAAUGUCUGGGAAACUGCCUGAUGGAGGGGGAUAACUACUGGAACCGGUAGCUAAUACCGCAUACCAUCAGAUGUGCCCAAAUGGGAUUAGCUAGUAGGUGGGGUAAUGGCUCACCUAGGCGACGAUCCCUAGCUGGUCUGAGAGGAUGACGAGGCACACUGGAACUGAGACUCGGCCCAGAAUCCAACGGGAGGCAGCAUUGGGGAAUAUGGCGCAAUGGGGGCAAGCCUGAUGCAGCCAUGCCGCGUGUGUGAAGAAGGCCUUCGGGUUGUAAAGCACUGUCAGCGGGGAGGCGUUACUCGCAGAAGAAGCACCGGCUAACUCCGUGCCAGCAGCCGCGGUAAUUC